rnacentral:rRNA from 1 species
ACAUACGACCAUACCUACCAGAAAAUACGGGAUCCCGUCUGCUCUCCCUUAGUCAAGCUGGUAAGGGGCGGAUUAGUAGUUGGGUCGGUGACGACCAGCGAAUCCCCGCUGUUGUAUGUU